GAUGAACGCUGGCGGCGUGCCUAAUACAUGCAAGUCGAGCGAAUGGAUUAAGAGCUUGCUCUUAUGAAGUUAGCGGCGGACGGGUGAGUAACACGUGGGUAACCUGCCCAUAAGACUAGGAUAACUCCGGGAAACCGGGGCUAAUACCGGAUAACAUUUUGAACCGCAUGGUUCGAAAUUGAAAGGCGGCUUCGGCUGUCACUUCUGGAUGGACCCGCGUCGCAUUAGCUAGUUGGUGAGGUAACGGCGCACCAAGGCAACGAUGCGUAGCCGACCUGAGAGGGUGAUCGGCCACACUGGGACUGAGACACGGCCCAGACUCCUACGGGAGGCAGCAGUAGGGAAUCUUCCGCAAUGGACGAAAGUCUGACGGAGCAACGCCGCGUGAGUGAUGAAGGCUUUCGGGUCGUAAAACUCUGUUGUUAGGGAAGAACAAGUGCUAGUUGAAUAAGCUGGCACCUUGACGGUACCUAACCAGAAAGCCACGGCUAACUACGUGCCAGCCGCCGCCGUAA
rnacentral:rRNA from 1 species